GACGAACGCUGGCGGCGUGCCUAAUACAUGCAAGUCGAGCGAAUCAUUCGGAACUUGUUCCGGAUGGUUAGCGGCGGACGGGUGAGUAACACGUGGGCAACCUGCCCGUAAGACUGGGAUAACACCGGGAAACCGGUGCUAAUACCUGAUAAUCCUUUUUCUCUCAUGAGGGAAAGCUGACAGUCGGUUUCGGCUGACGCUUACAGAUGGGCCCGCGGCGCAUUAGCUAGUUGGUGAGGUAACGGCUCACCAAGGCGACGAUGCGUAGACGACCUGAGAGGGUGAUCGGCCACACUGGGACUGAGACACGGCCCAGACUCCUACGGGAGGCAGCAGUAGGGAAUCUUCCGCAAUGGACGAAAGUCUGACGGAGCAACGCCGCGUGAGCGAUGAAGGCCUUCGGGUCGUAAAGCUCUGUUGUCAGGGAAGAACAAGUACCGGAGUAACUGCCGGUACCUUGACGGUACCUGACCAGAAAGCCACGGCUAACUACGUGCCAGCAGCCGCCGUAACAC
rnacentral:rRNA from 1 species